rnacentral:tRNA from 1 species
GCUGUCGUAGCUCAGUGGUAGAGCACUCCCUUGGUAAGGGAGAGGCCGGGAGUUCAAUCCUCCUCGACAGCACCA